rnacentral:rRNA from 1 species
AGCGAACGCUGGCGGCAGGCCUAACACAUGCGAGUCGAACGAACCUUUCGGGGUUAGUGGCGGACGGGUGAGUAACACGUGGGAACGUGCCUUUAGGUUCGGAAUAACUCAGGGAAACUUGUGCUAAUACCGAAUGUGCCCUUCGGGGGAAAGAUUUAUCGCCUUUAGAGCGGCCCGCGUCUGAUUAGCUAGUUGGUUGAGGUAAUGGCUCACCAAGGCGACGAUCAGUAGCUGGUCUGAGAGGAUGAUCAGCCACAUUGGGACUGAGACACGGCCCAGACUCCUACGGGAGGCAGCAGUGGGGAAUCUUGCGCAAUGGGCGAAAGCCUGACGCAGCCAUGCCGCGUGAAUGAUGAAGGUCUUAGGAUUGUAAAAUUCUUUCACCGGGGACGAUAAUGACGGUACCCGGAGAAGAAGCCCCGGCUAACUUCGUG